GAUGAAGAACGCAGCGAAAUGCGAUAAGUAAUGUGAAUUGCAGAAUUCAGUGAAUCAUCGAAUCUUUGAACGCACAUUGCGCCCGUCAGUAUUCUGGCGGGCAUGCCUGUUCGAGCGUCAUUACGCCCCUCAAGUCCCCUGUGGACUUGGUGUUGGGGAUCGGCGAGGCUGGUUUUCCAGCACAGCCGUCCCUUAAAUUAAUUGGCGGUCUCGCCGUGGCCCUCCUCUGCGCAGUAGUAAAACACUCGCAACAGGAGCCCGGCGCGGUCCACUGCCGUAAAACCCCCCAACUUUUUAUAGUUGACCUCGAAUCAGGUAGGACUACCCGCUGAACUUAAGCAUAUCAACAAGCGGAGGA
rnacentral:misc_RNA from 1 species